rnacentral:rRNA from 1 species
GUUAGCGGGAGGCUUAACACAUGCAAGUCGAGCGAGAAGGAACCUUCGGGGUUCUGAGUAAAGCGGCGGACGGGUGAGUAACACGUGGGUAAUCUGCCCUUCGGUGGGGGACAACAGUUCGAAAGGACUGCUAAUACCGCAUACGUCAGUCAGGUCUGCGGGCCAGACUGGGAAAGGUGGCCUCUACUUGUAAGCUAUCGCCGAGGGAGGAGCCCGCGUCGCAUCAGCUUGUUGGUGGGGUAAUGGCCUACCAAGGCGAAGACGCGUAGCUGGUCUGAGAGGAUGAUCAGCCACACUGGGACUGAGACACGGCCCAGACUCCUACGGGAGGCAGCAGUGGGGAAUAUUGGACAAUGGGCGCAAGCCUGAUCCAGCCAUCCCGCGUGAGUGAUGAAGGCCCUCGGGUCGUAAAGCUCUGUGGAGAGGGACGAAUGGCCAGAGGAACAAUACCCUCUGGUUUGACGGUACCUCUUUAGCAAGCACCGGCUAACUCCGUG